UGUUACCUGAAAAGAAGUUGCCCAUGUUAUUUUCGCUUUAUAUGUGACGAAACAAACAUGGUGCACUUCUUUUUCGGUAUCA
rnacentral:pre_miRNA from 1 species